UUAUUUUGCAGCCCAUCUCCUAACUCUGAAUUUAUGGACUAUUGCUGCACUUCAGGCAGAUGUCCCCAGAUGAACUACCUACACAAGAGGUCAGGAGGAAAAGUGCUAGCAAAACCUCAACUCCGGACACAAGGAGAGCAGAAUUCAGGCUUCUUGGGAAACUAAUUGACAGGCUAAGAGGGUCCCAGUGUCCUGAGCUGGAGGACCAUGGCUGUGAGAAUUAGAAACUCCCAGUUGACCCUGAACUUGUGCAGGAUCUGCCGCUUCAGCUGGAUCGCUCUAAGUCUGUGGAACCUGAUGGGAUGCGACAAUACUCAUAAAGAGUCUGAUGUCAUUAUGAGCCCUCUUUGGAUGAUUUUUGAAAAGUCUUAGGAAUCUGGAGACAUUCCAGUUGACUGAAAGCUGGCUAAUGCAUUUACAUCCUUACACUACAACACAGAUAAAGAACACUGGUAAAGAGCCAGUCCAAAUUU